GACCCUGGCCAACAUGACCUGAGCCAAAGGCAGAGGCUUUAACCCACUGAGCCAUCCAGGUGCCCCAUAGCUAGAUUUUUUAAGUGAAAAAACCACAGUGCAG